rnacentral:lncRNA from 1 species
UAGGAUUAUUUUUUAUGCCAGUGGAUCAUGUCUGUGCUCCAACAAUCGAGCGUUAUCUGUAAUGUUGAAAACGACAAACAAAUGUAGUUUAAAUUGUUGCAAAGGAAUACAAUGACUUGUGAACACUAAGCAGUGAUGCUACCUCAACAGACCUGAUGUGCACUUUUCAGGGAUAAAACAGGACACAUUUUUCUUAACAAAAUAGAGAAUUGCCUACUGCAUCCCAGAACACUACUGUUAAGAGUGAUGCAAAUAAUUGGCAUAAUGUACAUCUGUAUUUAAUGCUUUCCACUUGUGAUCCAUUUCUGUAAACACGGUCUUAUAAGCAAAGGGAUUGGGGUUACUUUACUACGAGUAGUACAGAUCAUUUAUUUUGUGUAAAAGUAAUGAUAGGCAUUAAUAGUGUUAGAUUAGGGCAGGAUGGUUUAAUUGUUUUGUUUUUUCACCUAUGUGAUAUAUUAUCUUUUUUUUGCAUUUGGGAUUAUUUAUUAUUUUCUGAACAGUCAUACAGUCGCUUCUGUUCAUUUAAUUUCUGCUUUGUAUUGGUAUAUACUGUAUACCUGGCUGAGCUUCGGAACCCAGAGGACAUACAGUUUCAAAGUCAUUGAAUGCAUUACUGUUAAAGCAUCUUUUGUCAUUAAAAGCAGUACCAAUGUGAGUAUCUAUCUUAUUUUCCUUCUUUGCACUUUAAAUAUGACGGUGGCAUUUGUCCUGCCUGUGCAGCCUGUUGACCAGAGCAUGUUGACACUUUUUUUGCAAGACCUGUGUAAACUACAAACACUCUAAAUGUAAGAAGUCUGACUGUCAGAAACACUCUUGUGAGAUGAGAUUAUAUGAGCCUCCAGAAUGGGUUCUGGAUGAAAAAGUACUCUUAUUAAUGGUAUAUAAACUGCAUAACACUGUUAAUUUAUGGUCCUGCUUUGUUUUACCUACACAGCCUGCUGAUGGAGAAAUACCUGGAAUAAAGCUUGUUGCUGCUCAUCUACCUUUUUCAUCGUUGAGGCCUGAUCAAACUCAUCUAUUUUCACCUGUGGUGCAGACCUUCAGGAACAGAUUCCACCUGUUGGAGCUUGCUCGAGCUCAUCCAUCUUCACCUGUAUCCCACACUUCCAAGACCAAUCCGAACUACAAAAACCACUGCUGCUAGAACUUUGACUGUCCAUGAUGGUCUUGUGAGAUCACUUUCCUUAAUUUUUUAAAGUGUGUUGCGGUGACUGGAUUGGUUGCCUGGACUCUCCUCAUGGUUAACCCGCCAGCACCACAUCACCAUUUUAUGUUUUAAUUGUUUUUUUGUUUUACAUUUGUUUUGUUUUGUUUGUUUUUUAGCACUUUGGUGACCAAUUUAAUAUGAUGUGCAUGUAUUUACCUGUAUGUCAAUUAUGGCACCCACUCCUGACCAUCCCUAGAAGAAGGGAUCCCCUACUAUGCGUUUCUUCUCAAGAUUUCUUCCUUGCUUAUUUCAAGGGAGUUUUUUCUUGCCCUUGUAGGGGCUUGGGUAAAGGGGGGUGUCAUAAAUAUUUUACCUGUUAAGCCCUUUGUAAUGGUGAUUAAGGGCUAUACAAAUAAACUUGAAUUGAAUUGUUGUUCCUUAAGAUUCCAUUAGUUUGUAUAGUAUCUACGAUAUCAUGUCACAAGAUGGAUAAGACAACAUAACAAUGUUGUA